UGGGGAAUUUUGCACAAUGGGCGCAAGCCUGAUGCAGCGACGCCGCGUGAGGGAUGAAGGCCUUCGGGUUGUAAACCUUUUUCGCUCAUGGUCAAGCCGCAGCUUUGGGUUGUGGUGAGGGUAGUGGGUAAAGAAGCGCCGGCUAACUACGUGCCAGCAGCCGCGGUAAUACGUAGGUCCCGAGCGUUGUCCGGAUUUAUUGGGCGUAAAGCGAGCGCAGGCGGUUAGAAAAGUCUGAAGUGAAAGGCAGUGGCUCAACCAUUGUAGGCUUUGGAAACUGUUUAACUUGAGUGCAGAAGGGGGGAGUGGAAUUCCAUGUGUAGCGGUGAAAUGCGUAGAUAUAUGGAGGAACACCGGUGGCGAAAGCGGCUCUCUGGUCUGUAACUGACGCUGAGGCUCGAAAGCGUGGGGAGCGAACAGG
rnacentral:rRNA from 1 species